CCAGGCUACGAUGGGUAGGGGUUCUUAGUGGAAGGUCCCCCACACUGGCNCUGAGAUACGGGCCAGACUCCUACGGGAGGCAGCAGUAGGGAAUAUUGGUCAAUGGGCGUAAGCCUGAACCAGCCAUGCCGCGUGCAGGAUGAAGGCUCUCUGAGUUGUAAACUGCUUUUAUACAGGAGCAAAAAAAUCCCUGCGGGGGUUCUUGAGAGUACUGUAAGAAUAAGCACCGGCUAAUUCCGUGCCAGCAGCCGCGGUAAUACGGGAGGUGCAAGCGUUAUCCGGUUUUAUUGGGUUUAAAGGGUGCGUAGGCGGCUUAUUAAGUCAGUUGUGAAAUCCUAGUGCUUAACGCUAGAACUGCGAUUGAUACUAUUAGGCUUGAGUUAAAAUAGGAAA
rnacentral:rRNA from 1 species